rnacentral:misc_RNA from 1 species
GAUGAAGAACGCAGCGAAAUGCGAUAAGUAGUGUGAAUUGCAGAAUUCAGUGAAUCAUCGAAUCUUUGAACGCACAUUGCGCCCCUUGGUAUUCCAUGGGGCAUGCCUGUUCGAGCGUCAUUUGUACCUUCAAGCUCUGCUUGGUGUUGGGUGUUUGUCUCGCCUCUGCGUGUAGACUCGCCUCAAAACAAUUGGCAGCCGGCGUAUUGAUUUCGGAGCGCAGUACAUCUCGUGCUUUGCACUCAUAACGACGACGUCCAAAAGUACAUUUUUACACUCUUGACCUCGGAUCAGGUAGGGAUACCCGCUGAACUUAAGCAUAUCAAUAAGCGGAGGA